rnacentral:lncRNA from 1 species
UUAGAUUUUCUAGCUUCUAAUUUUUUUGUAUGUUUUUCUUUCAUAGUAUGAAAUUAAUCUUUUGGAGCUGAUCCAAAGAAGAAGAACAGAUGAUGUUCAACUUUGGCUCUCCUAUGUGGUUUUUUGUAAGAAGUGGGUAAGUAAAGCCAUGCAUGUCUUACUUCCUCUGGCCAUAUUUUUG